rnacentral:misc_RNA from 1 species
UUUCAAUUCAUCAAAACCCUAGUAAUCGAUUCCAAUUCUCGUUUUACUGUAUCCAAUCAUCAAUUCAUUGAGCUUCUUAGUCUCCCUUUGUCAUGAUCAAACCCUAUUCGCUUGCUCUAAGUCACUGGGUUUGCAUCCACUGAUCAUAUCAGAAGCUCGAAUUUUCAAAUAUCACUGGGUUUGUCUCCCAAAGAUCAUAUCAGAAGCUCGAGAAACUUGCAAAUUAAAAGAGAGAAAGCAGGCUUGACCAUUCAAGAUUACAGAAGGUAAUGGAAAUGGAUGGAAGCAAGCGUGUGUUCCAGCGGCUAGGCCCUUCUUCACAAGGGGACACCAGUAAUAAUAAACAGCAAAAAGUUUGUUUUCAUUGGAGGGCUGGAAGAUGUAACAGGUUUCCAUGUCCGUUCUUACAUAGAGAAUUACCGGGACCGCCACAGCAGCAGCAACAUGCGGCGGGGAAUGGAAUGUCGUCGUCGAAGCGGCCUCAUGGGUUUUCUGAUGAUAAUCGAGGUUCGGGAAUGCGGAGAAAUCCGAAUUUUAACAAUACAUGGGGGAGAACUGCGGCUGGCGGAGGUGCAGUUGUGAGGAAGACUGAAAAAGUUUGUAAUUAUUGGGUUAAAGGGAAUUGUACAUAUGGAAACACCUGUAGGUAUUUGCAUUCAUGGACUACUGGGGACUGCUUCACAUUGUUGACAACACUUGAAGGGCACCAAAAGGUUGUUACAGGGAUUGCUUUGCCAUCAGGCUCGGAUAAGCUUUAUUCAGGGAGUACGGACAAGUCAGUACGAGUGUGGGAUUGCCAGUCUGGGCAGUGUGCAGGGGUUGUCAAUUUUGAUGGUGAAGUAGGUUCUAUGCUGAGUGAAGGCCCAUGGAUUUUUGUGGGUUUAACUAAUCUUGUCAAGGCAUGGAAUACUCAAACAGGAACUGACCUCAGUCUUAAUGGGCCAGUUGGACAAGUCUAUGCUCUUGUUGUUGGCAAUGAUAUGCUCCUUGCUGGUACGGAGGAUGGUAUAUUGGCAUGGAAAUAUAAUGGGAGCACCAAUAAUUUUGAUCCAAUCAAAGCAUUGACAGGACACAGCCAUCAUGUGGUAUCACUGGUCGUUGGAGCUAAUAGACUAUAUUCUGGUUCCAUGGACAAUUCAAUAAGAGUGUGGAACCUUGAAACAUUAGAGUGCUUACAGAUCUUGACAGAUCAUACAAGUGUUGUUAUGUCUGUUCUAUGCUGGGAUCAGUUUCUUUUAUCAUGUUCACUGGACAAAACGAUAAAGGUCUGGGCUGCUAAUGAUAGUGGGAACUUGGAGGUUACAUAUACUCAUCAAGAGGAUUGUGGAGUGCUUACUCUCUGUGGCAUGCAUGAUUCAGAAGCAAAGCCUGUAUUGCUCUGCUCGCGCAAUGACAACACCAUUCGUGUCUAUGAUUUGCCAUCCUUUUCUGAGAGGGGGAAGAUAUUCUCUAAGGAGGGUGUCCGUCGAAUAGAGAUUGGUCCUGCUGGUUUAUUUUUUACUGGUGAUGAAUCAGGUCAAGUUAGAGUGUGGAAGUGGUCAACUGAAUCCAGCAGUACAUCUUGAGAGGAUCAACACAUUUACGGCGACAACAUUUCUUUGUUGCUGGCCAGCAAUUAUCUUAUUUUUCUUCUCCCAGUGAGAGAAUGUACCAAGCAAGGAACAUAUAAUAAGAUAAAGAAGUACCAGUUUUGGUUUUCAGAGGUAGCUAGCUUAGAGCCUUGCCAUUUAGUUGCUUUUAACUAGUGAGCUCUCGAUGGGUUCCAGGCAUAUUUUUUCCUAGUCUGGUUUGUACUCAAAAUCAUGAUAAUCGUGUAAAUCUCUGAAGGACAUUUCUGGUCUCCCGUCCUGUAUUGUUUUUCACGAGUUAUGGAUGUAGCUCAAAAAUCGUGUGUUCCUUGAAUAAGUUUGCUAAUGUAUGCAUUAGUGUUGCACAGUG